GACGAACGCUGGCGGCGUGCUUAACACAUGCAAGUCGAGCGGUAAGGCGCCUUUUGGGGUGUACACGAGCGGCGAACGGGUGAGUAACACGUGAGUAAUCUGCCCUCUUCUUCGGGAUAAGCUUCGGAAACGGGGUCUAAUACCGGAUAUUCACAUUUUGGCGCAUGUUGGGGUGUGGAAAGUUUUUUCGGUGGGGGAUGUGCUCGCGGCCUAUCAGUUUGUUGGUGGGGUAAUGGCCUACCAAGGCUUUGACGGGUAGCCGGCCUGAGAGGGUGACCGGCCACACUGGGACUGAGACACGGCCCAGACUCCUACGGGAGGCAGCAGUGGGGAAUAUUGGACAAUGGGCGGAAGCCUGAUCCAGCAACGCCGCGUGGGGGAUGACGGCCUUCGGGUUGUAAACCUCUUUCGCUACUGACGAAGUCGCAUUCUUUGUGGGUGUGGUGACGGUAGGUGGAGAAGAAGCACCGGCCAACUACGUGCCAGCAGCCGCCGUAAAAC
rnacentral:rRNA from 1 species